AACAAACGCUGGCGGCGUGCCUAAUACAUGCAAGUCGAACGGGGAAAGCUUUCGGGUGAGUACUAGUGGCGUACGGGUGCGGACCGCGUGGAUAAUCUGCCUUAGAGUGGGGGAUAACUAGUCGAAAGAUUAGCUAAUACCGCAUCAGACCACCGGAGCUGCGGCUCUAGGGGUCAAAGGUUUUUCGCUCUAAGAUGAGUCCGCGUAAGAUUAGCUAGUUGGUGAGGUAACGGCUCACCAAGGCGACGAUCUUUAACUGGUCUGAGAGGAUGAUCAGUCACACUGGAACUGAGACACGGUCCAGACUCCUACGGGAGGCAGCAGUAGGGAAUAUUGCACAAUGGAGGAAACUCUGAUGCAGCGACGCCGCGUGAGUGAUGAAGGCCUUCGGGUCGUAAAGCUCUGUCGCAGGGGAAUAACACAAUGAAUGUACCCUGUAAGAAAGGAUCGGCUAACUUCGUGCCAGCAGCCGCAGUAAAAC
rnacentral:rRNA from 1 species